rnacentral:rRNA from 1 species
AUGUCAACAUUCGCAAGACCACCUCUCAGUUUUCCCAACGGUGUUCGUCCAUCCGCCCAAGUUGCCUUUGUUUUCCCGCCCUCCCACCCUUUUUCUUCAAGGACUCGGAUUUCUUUAUCAAGUAUCCAUCUUAUGGAUGAGAAGCCUCUUUACUCCUCUCUUUCAGUGUUCUUAUCCGGUGAUUCUCAUGAAGAUACUAACGGAGCUUCAAGUUCAUCAUUCAUCAUUCUUUUUUCUUCUCUAGUGGAUUCAAGUCAAGGUUUGUCGAUCUUAUCCUUUUCCUCAUUUCAAAUGUUUUCUCAUGUCGGUGUAUCUCUUAAUCAUUCACUUCUCGCUAUUCAAUUGUUCUGGAGUGCUGAAGAUAUCCCAAAAGAUUUAAGUUUAUAUUCAUAA